rnacentral:lncRNA from 1 species
UUCUUAGUAAAAAAAGAAUUUCUUGAUAUUUUCCGACUGAUUAUAAUGUACAAUAUUGCGUGUCUAGCAGACGAUGCAAACGCCGCUUAAACCGUUAAUGCAGCCGCAACGGCGAGAAGAAGGAAGUAGCGGAUUGAUCGUCCGAUUGCACCACGAGGGAAUCAACUGAGAUGAGGCUGCCGGUGAAACUCGACCGUAGUCUGGCCGACCUCCGCAAAGGUUGCAUUUCUGCAUCGAGGAAAGUGCGGCCCGAUGAAGUGCAAGCGGACGCAGAUUCGUCGUGCUGCAUACCUGAAACGUGUUGCACUACUCUUUUGGAUGGACUCUGCCACGGUGAAAAGAUUCCCCGCGUCGCUGAUUAUUGCUUCUUAGGGAUGCUCCAGCCGCCGUUCGUGCACUUUCUCCGAUGUUAGUAUUAGAAGGUGAGCGAGAAGAACAAAGUCACGAUAUUGAGGUGCCGAUGGUUUUCGAACGCAAUUGAGAUCUAAAUUAAAAUAGAAAAUUUCAGUUUAUGUUUAUGGAAAUCAAAAAAGAGACUUUAAUUGAAUUAAAUUUUUUAAGUCUGUGUUUUAGCAAAUUUGGAUUCUAAUUUCACAAGGAUAAUUUUUUAAUCGUUUUUAUGUUAUUACGACAUGUUUAAAUUAUUUUAUUUGUAUACGAGAUAUCUCUAUUCAGAAUCUUAAAAGAAUUUACUUCUCUCUCUUCCCCUCCAUAUACAUUCCUAACUAUUUACGGAAUGUGUGACAAAUGUUUCGACAUAAUUUUAGCAGACAGUGUCGGAAAUAAAUAACAAAUAGGACACGUCGGCGCCAAAUCGGCCCCCUGGAAUCCGACAAGUUUCGUUGAAUAUUUAUUAGACCCAGCAUAUGUCACAAAACAAGGUGCUUGUAAUUGAGUUGUAGCCACAUUUUUCUUAUUCACACUGUAUUUCACGAGCGAUAUCUCUUCUACUAUGCAAUUCGUGUAAGAUUUCUUAUAAAUUAACCACUGUGUAGAUAAAUCCUUUUACAUAACGAUUCUCUUCGUUACAUACCAGGGUGAGAAAAUUCUAAAAAUAGAAAAAUCUAUUUAUAUUACUAAAUCCAAUUUUAUUUUAAAAAGUAAAACAUUUGAAUAAAAAUUCUUUAUUAUAAACUUAUGUCUUUUUGGAUUUAACAUUUUUUCUUUAUCAUUUCUAUCAAGUAUGCAAGACUGACUUUGCACUCACUGAAAUCAACCUCAUGUUCCCUCUUUGUGUCUUACCUCUCUCGAAAAAGGAACACCCGAUGCAUAAUAAAAUAUUGCGCAUGGAGUUUUGUAACAUGGCGUGCUUGCUGGACAUUGUAAUUUUUGCAAUCUGGAUUACCGUUGCGUCGAGGGAGAACAUCCUCACUUGUGCAAGAGAGUCCAGCUAAACGUAGACCUGCUCCGUUUCCCCCGGGCAAUUUUGCGUAAUCAUAGAGCAAGUACCUGCCGCAUCUGACUUGAACGCCGUUAACGACUGCUCCACUCUAAUAAACGAGUCUCUCCUCACAGAACCCCAUUUCUUAGGAUCUCGGUAAAAGAAUUAUUCUCUUGUUUUUGAAAACACAUUGGAGAAAAUUGAUUUGAACCAGCGCUGGAAACGAGAUCGACCUUAAAUAAUGACGCAACGAAAUAUGAGAAGAGCGAAAUGCUGCACAACGCUAAUACGCGCGAUUAUUUUUGUGAGAGAUUAAUACAAAUAUUUUACUUCUUUUCUUACUCCUUCAUGGCACUUUCGUGCAAUUUUGUUUUUACAAUAUUCCUAGUACUCAUAAAUACCUAUAGAUUAAUGCGCUAAACUGAAAAUACUUGGAAGCGCCAUCGAUUGUGUAAAACCGGCGCGGGAUUACGUCGGAGAGUAAUUCGAGAAGCGGAAAGUAGUUAAUUUCACUAGCGACACUAAUCGUCGGAGGGAGAAAAAGAUGUUCUCCCCGAGAAAUUCGCAUGCACCAGCUGCGGCUGCGAUUCACUCGGAAGCGGAGAAAGGAAUUAUCCAACGGUGCCAGUACAAAUAUUUGUCUGCAAACGGAUUCGCGUCAGAACGCUAAUGCGACAAGUGUCGUGCCGCCCUAUGAUGGAAUCGUUUGCACGCUAUGUAGCCGCGGCUAUGCAAAUCUGCGAUGAGCCAUCGCUUGUUGCAAACGACUCAUCCAUGUAUACGCGCAACGACGAUGACGCAGUGCCACUCGCUCGUUCACCAACGGCAACGUCUCGGCGACGUGAACACAGAAAAAGAAGUCAGCAAAUAUAUUUGCAAAAAUGAGAAAAAUUCCAACUAUAUUAAUGUACAGUUUUUUUUAUUUAUUUAAAUAUAAUCCUAAAUAAAUUUGUCAAAUACAGCUCAGAAUUUUUCUAGUUUAGCAAAAGCUCCGACGAGCAAUCGUUUAUUAUAAUCGAUAUUUAUUAUAAUCAUUGUAAUCGAUCCUUCGCAAAUCCAACGCGAAUCAGCGCAGAUCAUCCGCAGGGAAGAUUCACAGAAGAAAAGGCAAAUAUAUAAUUGGAAAAAUUCCUAAUUGUAUUAACUAAUUUAUUUGCGGCUAGGAAUUUUUCUACUUUAACAAAUUUGUACGCUGUCUUUUUUCCAUAAAUUCUUGCCUGCGGAUGAUUCGCGCUAAUUCGCGUUGAUACCGCGAAGGGCGAUUAUUCGCCGGAGCUUGGCACAGGCUCGGGUUCAUUUUUCCUUUCGCCUUUCACCUUUCACGCGAUCUCAACCUUUUACCUUACAGAAAUCCACAUGGAUUUUGGAUAUCGCUGGUCGAAGUUUAUUGCCUUAGUUCUAUCAAUAAGUUGUUUCGGCCUCAUGUUCUCUUAUGGGGUAUCCCAUGUUAGAAAUUAGAAUAUUCAAUAAGGGAAUUACACGGCGGGUCGUAACGGCGGAUUAUAUAAAACUGCGUCGACGGAGAUCGUGACUCGCUAGUCGCUACCCAUUAAUCUCAUAAACAUCGCGUCUCAUAAGUGAUUACGCUUUCUAAAGCGUUACGGCGCGCGUAGCGCUUUUGUUCGUGCGCGUGUGCCUUUUAAACUAACAAAUCGACUCAAGACUUGAACAUUACUUCAAUCAAACGACGAACUUGUGUUUUUCCUUAAUUUGCCGAUUACGUGACGAUUGUGUGAUAAUGCACGUGCGAACUGUCUUGUAUCUCUUAUAUUAUUCAUGAAAAUGCAAGAUGUGCAUAUUUGAUGCUGCUAAUAUUUAUUUUUAAGCUCCAGUGCUUCUCAAGACAUCUGCAAAUUAAAAAUCGAAUAUUCGAAUUUCAUUUCUUGUCUUCACAUUCGAACAUGCCGCGGCCGUCUAUUCUUUUAAAAUAUCACACGCGCGAUUACAACUUUCGCUUUUUGAGAUGCAUGUCAAUUUUGCGCACGGUAUCAGCGAGAUCCUCAAUUUAAAAAGUUGUGAAAGUUUGAACUGUAACCUACGUCGGCGGACUCGUGGUCAGUCGGGUGAUAGUCACGCGGCGGUUGUACGGUAAUUGCGCGAACAAGCGGCUAAUCAAGCUCUCCGCGGUAUAACUAAUUACUCGAUCGUUUAAUGUAUAUUCGAGAAGGAACCGUGCGCGGCAGAAGCGCGCGUAACACGGUAACGAUUAUGGAAGGCGUGAUGUAACGUUUUUCUUGACUGACUAAUCAAUCGCGCACCUCAAAGAGAAACGACCGGAGGAAUCUUCCGCUCCUCCCCUCCGUUUCUUUUUAAGGAAUCAAAAUAAAUAUUAUAUACUAGAACUGGCUGAUUAAAAAUCUCAAUCCUAAUUUCCACACUGAAAUCUAUUAAGAAUAUUGUAACUGCAAAUUGAAGUAAACCAUGAAGCUAAACUUCAAAAAAAUUCGCGUAAGUUUUCGUAAAAAUUGCAAAAGUAAUUCAGCACUCGGUCUUCGGACACAAUACACAGAUCGAGCGUGCGAGGAAACAUCCUACGCGAGAAGCAUCCUGGCGGAACUGGAGGCGAGAACGGUGCUAGUAAAACGCAGUCGAAUCACUGAAUGCAACUGGUCAAGAGGAAGUUUCUCGGGAAUUAGAAAAAGGUACGACGUGGAGAACGAUGUCGUCGAAAAGAGGAAGAGGACCGGUGCGACCAGAGAUGAGAAGCACGGGCGAAAGUCAAGCUCGCAAAGUCCUCUUCGUCCCGCGCGACUCCGCGAUGUUAAUACAUCCGAGAAACUCGGAUGCACGCGAGACGUGACUCGGAGGACCCGGCAACGUCAUCCGAGUCAUCGAGAUCGAUGGUCGCGCUCUCCGAUCACCCUGUUCAUGAUCGAGGAAGUCAAAAUCAUUGAACGCGAGGAGUUGCAAUGAUGAGAGGAUCUCAAAGUCGUUUGUACCGAACACAAAUUUGCGCACGCGGAAAAUCGGUGACUCGUGGAUUAUUUUAUAAGUUGAGAAUUGAUUUUGAUAACGAGUGACUUGGUAUGAUUAUCGGAUGCAUAAGAUGAUUGAACGAAAGCGUAGUCUGGGACUAACUUGGAAUCAAAGAGGAAAACAAAUUUGGAUGUUUUCUAAUAAGGGAUUCUUUAGUUUGUUCUAUAUAAUAUAUACUAAUAGAAAAGAUUUGAAAUUAUUAAUAUUUUUUUGUUUUCGGAUGAUAAUACAGGACUUUUGAUGUAUUAUUGCAUACUGAAAUGUUGGUAUUUCCUUUUUUUUCACUGCACGCAGAUAAAAUCACCUAGGCAAAUAAAACGUGAGAGGCGGAGACUUAGUGCGAGAUUUUAUGGAUGUCAAGAUUGAUGAUGACCCCCGUAAAU